rnacentral:rRNA from 1 species
UACCGAGCGGCGGACGGGUGAGUAACACGUUGGAACCUACCCCAAAGUGGGGAAUAACUGGCCGAAAGGUCGGCUAAUACCCCAUAGUCUUAUCCUCGUGAUAAGUAAAGAUUUUUCGCUUUGGGAGGGGCCUGCGCAGCAUUAGCUAGUUGGUGAGGUAAAAGCUCACCAAGGCGACGAUGCUUAGCUGGAUCGAGAGGUUGACCAGCCACACUGGGACUGAGAUACGGCCCAG